UACGUAGGGUGCAAGCGUUAAUCGGAAUUACUGGGCGUAAAGCGUGCGCAGGCGGUUCGGCAAGUGAGGUGUGAAAUCCCAGGGCUUAACCUUGGAACUGCACUUUUAACUACCGGGCUAGAGUACGGCAGAGGGGGGUAGAAUUCCACGUGUAGCAGUGAAAUGCGUAGAGAUGUGGAGGAAUACCGAUGGCGAAGGCAGCCCCCUGGGAUGAUACUGACGCUCAUGCACGAAAGCGUGGGGAGCAAACAGG
rnacentral:rRNA from 1 species